GAUGAAGAACGUAGCGAAAUGCGAUAAGUAAUGUGAAUUGCAGAAUUCAGUGAAUCAUCGAAUCUUUGAACGCACAUUGCGCCCGCCAGUAUUCUGGCGGGCAUGCCUGUCUGAGCGUCAUUUCAACCCUCAUGCCCCUAGGGCGUGGUGUUGGGGAUCGGCCAAAGCCCGCGAGGGACGGCCGGCCCCUAAAUCUAGUGGCGGACCCGUCGUGGCCUCCUCUGCGAAGUAGUGAUAUUCCGCAUCGGAGAGCGAUGAGCCCCUGCCGUUAAACCCCCAACUUUCCAAGGUUGACCUCAGAUCAGGUAGGAAUACCCGCUGAACUAAAGCAUAUCAAUAAGCGGAGGA
rnacentral:misc_RNA from 1 species